UCCAGACUCCUACGGGAGGCAGCAGUGGGGGAUAUUGCACAAUGGGGGAAACCCUGAUGCAGCGACGCCGCGUGAGUGAAGAAGUAUUUCGGUAUGUAAAGCUCUAUCAGCAGGGAAGAUAAUGACGGUACCUGACUAAGAAGCCCCGGCUAACUACGUGCCAGCAGCCGCGGUAAUACGUAGGGGGCAAGCGUUAUCCGGAUUUACUGGGUGUAAAGGGUGCGCAGGUGGCAGGGCAAGUCAGAUGUGAAAGCCCGGGGCUCAACCCCGGUAUUGCAUUUGAAACUGUCCGGCUAGAGUGCAGGAGAGGUAAGCGGAAUUCCUAGUGUAGCGGUGAAAUGCGUAGAUAUUAGGAGGAACACCAGUGGCGAAGGCGGCUUACUGGACUGUAACUGACACUGAGGCACGAAAGCGUGGGGAGCAAACAGGAUUAGAUACCCUAGUACAA
rnacentral:rRNA from 1 species